rnacentral:misc_RNA from 1 species
GAAAUGCGAUACUUGGUGUGAAUUGCAGAAUCCCGUGAACCAUCGAGUCUUUGAACGCAAGUUGCGCCCGAAGCCAUUAGGCCGAGGGCACGCCUGCCUGGGUGUCACACAUCGUUUCCCCAACGCAAACAUGUAACAAUGUUGCUGCGUUCUUCAUCGAUGCGUCGUUACCUUA